UUUCCCGUAGCGCAAUGGAUAGCGCGUUGAACUUCUAAUCUAAUGGUCGUGGGUUCGAAUCCCACCCGGAAAG
rnacentral:tRNA from 1 species